rnacentral:misc_RNA from 1 species
UAAUUUGAUGAGCCCGCGCUCCACCAUUCACGCCGCCGAUCAACGCUAAACAUUCGAGUUCGAGCGCAAUUUUGUUUACGCAAACCAACCCGGACCGGUCCUUUAGUCAUUCAACAAUGUUUACUCCAGCGUACGGAGCAAUUUCGUUUCAUCCCUCGCUUUAACUGUCAUUUUCAAAUCAUGAUAACACACGAAUGUGAGAACGUUCUCCCUCGCAAAAGGAAACACGCAUGUCUCUCCAUCUUGCUCCGUCUCCUUCUCUCGUUUGCGAUAUGCGCGGUCUCAAUGCGGAAGUAGCGCCACCACGUGUCGACGAUGCGCAAUUGACCUUCACGCUCGAACUGUUCCCCGCGUGGUGCAUAUAGGUUAGAAGAGUACAGCGGAAAGGAAGAGGGGAUGACAUACGCGGCAUGUGCGCAGAGCACGUUUUUACAAAAUGGUGCCAAAGUCGAAUCUAUCGUCGCCGGCAUUCCGCGACGGAUAACGAGAGAUUGUGGACGCACGCGCGCGUUAUACUUGGGUUUAGUUAGGUUAGGUUAGGUUAGGUUGGAUUAGGGCGGUGCGUUCAGCUUUUUUAUUACGAUCGAUGUCGCAGACGACGACGUGGAGAGUGGACCGAAGUUUUAUCUAUGUGACACUUACGACCACGCGGCUCUCUCACUUUCUCUCGAUUCAUGUGUGACUUGUGAAUGAUUCGAGAAUGUGGAGAGCAAUAGAGAUACCGAGUUCUGUUUGUAUUUUUUGCGAGUGGACUUGAGAUGAUCGUGCGGCUCAUCGAAUAAAGGAAGACAAUCGAAGUGUACAUUUCAAACAAAGGCUCACGACUCGAGUAGAUUGUUAUAAUCACUUUGCAGCACUUUGUUUUUAUAUACGUGUACGUAUGAUCGUAAGUAGAAGAGUCGAGUGUGUGUUGAAUUUUUUGUGAGUAAUCUUUAAUUCCGCCUGUAGAAUCGCAUCUUGACAAUCGAACCCUCUUCAAGGUACACAUGACGCAAUUGUCACGGUGUUUACGCGAAAAUCAGCGGAAUAUGAGUGGAAUUGUAGGGCGAGUCGGGUACAGAAUUGAAAACACGUUCGCGAUGACUCACUGCCGCUCACUUCACUUCGUUCUAUCGCGUCUUUCAGUCGGCAGAACGUAGUGUGACUUGGGCUAAAACGAUAAGCGGACUUUCGGAGCUCUCGUCUAUCUUUCGCACUAAAAUAAAUCCUCGCGCAGUUUCAGAUUCACAAUUCUCUCGUCGAUCCAAAAAUAGACGAAGCGAGGUGAGGUAGCAGAUAGCUUCAUCUUGCGAAACUGAAGCUGUCAAUCGUCGACGCCAGUUGAUUCCCAGACAGCACAUGAUCUCCUGGGGACGUCCUAUGGACGUCCUGAGGAUGAAGAAACAUCCCCAAGACAUCCUUAAGACGUACUCUAGACGUCCUCUGUGUUAUUAGGAUUAACUCAGUUAACUGCACGCAACAUCGAAAAAUAUAGGUUAUAAUGAAUGUAUUGCGAUCAAAUGUUAUCAGUGUAGUAGUAAAAAGGAUCAGGAUUGCACGCUUAACAAAGUACAUUUUAAAUACCUGAAACUGUGUCCAUCGAGUCAUCUUUAUUGUCGUAAAGCCGUUUACGUGUAUUAUUUUAUGGAUUCGCAUAACGGCCUAACAAUGCGCGAAUGCGCGAAAUCGCGUAACAGCCAAAAAGAGUGUUAUCGGGGACGCUACAGUCGAGAUAGUUAUCAACUUAUCUGCGAAUGCGUAGGCUACGGAUGCAAUCGAUCACAUAGAUGUUCAUCCAGCUUCGCUGUCUACUUUCUGUGUACGCUUUCCGUGAUGGUUGAUUACUAUAUUACCAGGCGAUGCGAUUGAAAUCGAUCAGCCACUGAAGGGAGCGACCAUAAGUUUCGUAAGUUUCGUAAACGUUCUAAACAACCAUGUUUGACUUGCUAUUGUAUGUGUGUGUGUGUGUGUGAUAUGAAGUACAUCAUCUUUCCUCAUAUAUGCAUACGUAUUUUAUAGAAUUAUCUUAUAAUGUGGAUAAUAUGCAUGUCAAUUUAAAAUUAUAAUUUUCCUAUAUUAUAUGUUCUGUAAAAAGAUACAUGGUAAGAUAUGUGCAAAUAUGUUAACGCGUGAAUUGUUGAAUCUGUCAUAAAAAUAGAGAUAAAAUAAGUAUAUGUGCAAAAAAAACAAAUGUAUUAAGAACAUAUUCAUUUGCACAUGUGUGUCUUUCAUGUUAU